UACAGAGGGUGCGAGCGUUGUUCGGAAUUACUGGGCGUAAAGCGCGCGCAGGCGGCCCUUUAAGUCCACUGGUGAAAGACCGGGGCUCAACCCCGAGUCAGCCAGGGAUACUGGAGGGCUGGAGACAGGUAGAGGCAAGCGGAAUUCCGGGUGUAGCGGUGGAAUGCGUAGAUAUGACAUAGAACACCAAUUGCGAAGGCAGCUUACUACAGGAAUAUUGACACUGAUGCACGAAAGCGUGGGGAUCAAACAGG
rnacentral:rRNA from 1 species